AAUUACUCAACAUUAAUGCAUACGGUGAAUGCCUUGGUCGAAAGUACCGAAGAAGGACGUACUAGGCGUGCGAUACGCUCUGGGGAGCUGCCUUGAAGCUUUGAUCCAGAGAUCUCCUAAUGGGGUAACCCAUCCCGAUUUAAUCGGGAUAUCUACCGCUGAAUACAUAAGCGGAUGAGGGGUACGCGCUGAACUGAAAUAUCUAAGUAAGCGCAGGAAAAGAAAACAAACGUUUAUUCCCUAAGUAGUGACGAGCGAAAUGGGAGGAGCCUAAACUAUACAUCAGUCCGAUACGCAAGUAUUGGACCGUAUAGGGUUGUAGGGGUUUUCAUAAGUGAUCCAUCAAAAGUAGUAGAAAGGACUGGAAAGUCCUACCAAAGAGAGUGAAAGUCUCGUAUACGACGCUCGAAGUGGCACGAAAACUACCUGAGUAGCUCAGGACACGUGUAAUCCUGGGUGAAUCUAGCAAGACCACUUGUUAAGGCUAAAUAUACUUUCGGACCGAUAGUGAACUAGUACCGUGAGGGAAAGGUGAAAAGAAGUGCGAAACGCACAGUGAAAUAGAAACUGAAACCGUAUGUUGACAAGCUGUGGAAGUCCGCAAGGACGACCGCGUGCCUAUUGAAGAAUGAACCGGUGAGUUAUUGAUUACGACAAGACUAAGCCACUAUGUGGCGUAAUCGGAGUGAAAGCAAGCCCUAACUGGGCGAAAAUUUCAGCCGUAAUCAUUAGACCCGAAACCAGGUGAGCUAUCCAUGAGCAGGGUGAACUCCGCCGAAAGGUGCGAGGGAGGCCCGAACCCAUUAGCGUAGAAAUGCUUCGGGAUGACUUGUGGUUAGUGGUGAUAUGCCUAACGAACCUGGAGAUAGCUGGUUCUCCCCGAAAUAUAUUUAGGUAUAGCCCUGUGUAAUAACAUGGGGGGUAGAGCUCUGGAUGGAUGCUUCGGUCGCAAGAUCGGAAAUCCAAUCAAACUUCAAAUACCCAUGUUUUGUAGCAGGAGUCAGUCCGACCGGGCUAAGCCGGGCGGGCCUAAGGGAAACAUCCCAGACUGACAGCUAAGGUCCCUAAAUCGUACUUAAGUGUUAAAGGAGGUCAUGAUCCUUAGACAGCCAGGAAGUUGGCUUAGAAGCAGCCAUCUUUUAAAGAAAGCGUAACAGCUCGCUGGUCUACUAUGGGUUGUGGCGCCGACAAUGAAUCGGGGCUAAAGUACGUACCGAAGCUACAGAUUUGCCAUUAAUUUAUUAGUGGUAAGUGGUAGGGGAGCGUUCUAAUUGCUGUGAAGCUUGACCCGUGAGGGCAGGUGGAGCGAUUAGAAGUGAGAAUGCCGGUAUGAGUAACGAAAUUGAUGUGAGAAACAUUAACGCCGAAUGCCCAAGGUUUCCGAUCCAAUGUUAAUCAGGGUCGGGUAAGUCGGUCCUAAGGAGAGGCCAGAGUGGCGUAUCCGAUGGACAACAGGCUAAUAUUCCUGUACUAUUUUUAGUUUGACAAGUUCUUUGAUUUAUCAAAGAAGCCAUUAAGAGGGGACAAAGUAGGAAAAACUCAGCUAUUUAAAGUCAUCCUUAGCCGUAAGGCAACGGAUGACGACAGAUAGUUUAAGCAUGCAAGUUAGUAGAGAUCGGCAAGUCCGUUUCUACAAGUCAUUCAAGAGCAAUCUUGAAUGAUUGAAAAAUACAAGCUGCGAUGACGAAAGUGAGCGAUUUCUGUUUUCGGGAAAAUCCUCGUAAAGGAAAUUAGAAGUAUCCGUACUACAAACCAACACAGGUGGGCGAGUUGAGUAUACACAGGCGAUCGAGAGAACUAUCCUUAAGGAACUCGGCAACAAAAGCUGGACGUAAGUUAGCAAGAUGUCCUACCCUAAGGCCGCAAGGUUUUGGGGUUGCAACAAAAGACGCUGAGCGACUGUUUAUCAAAAACACAGGUCCCUGCUAAAGCGAAAGCUGAUGUAUAGGGGCUGACACCUGCCCAGUGCCAGUAAUUUAAAACUUCACUUGACCUCAGGUAGCAAUACUUGGGCGAGGAUGGGGUCUAAGAUCUGGUGAACGGCAGCAGUAACUAUAACUGUUCUAUGGUGGAUUCGCCGCCUUAGAAGAAAGUAUGUGUUUUUGAAAUCUGACUAUAUGCUGGAAUAACUCAGUAUGCAACAGUACUAAUUUUCAAAAUUAUGCUAAUAAUUUUAAAGAAAGUCACAAUCUGUUUGCUGGAGUCAAUCAGCAGGGAAGAAUCCUGAUCUACAUCAGGAGAACCCUCAGAGACUACAUGUCAGACUAAACUGAAUUUAACUUUUCAGUUUGGAAGAUAUAGUCCGAACUACGUAGCGAUACGUAGAGGUGGAAAUUAACUCAUCCACGAAAGAGUAAGCAAUUACUCUGUUAACACACAAUUAAAGGAAUUGAGCGAAGUUCCUUGUCUGGUGAGUUCAGACCCGCACGAAAGGUAGAACGACUUAGCGACUGUCUUGAGGAUAGACUCGGUGAAAUUGCAGUGGCUGUGAAGAUGCGGCCUUCCCAUACUUGGACAAAAAGACCCCGUGGAGCUUUACUGGAGC
rnacentral:ncRNA from 1 species